rnacentral:piRNA from 1 species
UGNGCUUCAAACCAUGCUUGUUGCCUGAGC